UGCACACACACACAGCUACACACGAUGCACACACACAUUUGCUGCAGAUACACAUACCAACGCAUACAUUUUACCCCAGGUGUGUAUUAGUGUUACCCCAGGUGUGUUAGUGUUACCCCAGGUGUGUGUUAGUGUUACCCCAGGUGUGUUAGUGUUACCCCAGGUGUGUGUUAGUGUUACCCCAGGUGUGUGUUAGUGUUACCCCAGGUGUGUAUUAGUGUUACCCCAGGUGUGUGUUAGUGUUACCCCAGGUGUGUGUUAGUGUUACCCCAGGUGUGUGUUAGUUUUACCCCAGGUGUGUAUUAGUGUUACCCCAGGUGUGUGUUAGUGUUACCCCAGGUGUGUGUUAGUGUUACCCCAGGUGUGUGUUAGUGUUACCCCAGGUGUGUGUUAGUGUUACCCCAGGUGUGUAUUAGUGUUACCCCAGGUGUGUGUUAGUGUUACCCCAGGUGUGUGUUAGUGUUACCCCAGGUGUGUAUUAGUGUUACCCCAGGUGUGUGUUAGUGUUACCCCAGGUGUGUAUUAGUGUUACCCCAGGUGUGUGUUAGUGUUACCCCAGGUGUGUGUUAGUGUUACCCCAGGUGUGUAUUAGUGUUACCCCAGGUGUGUAUUAGUGUUACCCCAGGUGUGUUAGUGUUACCCCAGGUGGGUGUUACCCCAGGUGUGUAUUAGUGUUACCCCAGGUGUGUUUGUGUUACCCCAGGUGUGUGUUUGUGUUACCCCAGGUGUGUGUUUGUGUUACCCCAGGUGUGUGUUUGUGUUACCCCAGGUGUGUGUUUGUGUUACCCCAGGUGUGUGUUUGUGUUACCCCAGGUGUGUGUUAGUGUUACCCCAGGUGUGUGUUAGUGUUACCCCAGGUGUGUGUUAGUGUUACCCCAGGUGUGUGUUAGUGUUACCCCAGGUGUGUGUUAGUGUUACCCCAGGUGUGUGUUUGUGUUACCCCAGGUGUGUGUUUGUGUUACCCCAGGUGUGUGUUCGUGUUACCCCAGGUGUGUGUUAGUGUUACCCCAUGUGUGUAUUAGUGUUACCCCAUGUGUGUAUUAGUGUUACCCCAGGUGUGUAUUAGUGUUACCCCAGGUGUGUAUUAGUGUUACCCCAGGUGUGUGUAUUACUUACUUACUUAAUUACUUUAUUGUCCCCAUGUGGAAAUUCUGUUGCAGUGUCAUGUACACAUUCAAAGUGUUGUUUAAAUACAAAACAACUUUUAUAACAGUCACGCACCAAUAAAAAUAAUAAUAGUAAGAAAUAAAACAUAAAAACAUUUAAAGAAGAAAAGACUAGCCUGCUGGCCUUAUGGGUCAAUGGGAACAUUCUCCCGAGCUAUUCAGGAGGGAUAUCACACCUGGCACAAAAGAUUGUCUCGUUCUGUUUUUCCUGCUGAGGGGUGCCCUAUACCUGCGCCCAGAGGGGAGUAAUUCAAACUCCAGGUACAGGGGGUGGCUUGGGUCUAAAAGGAUUUUGUGAGCCUUACGGAGGGCCCUGACCUUAAAGACCAUGUUAAUAACCCCUCAUCCAGGCCUGUCUGACUCCAAGUACCUUGCUUGCUGUGGUAAUAAUCCUUCUCAGCAUAUUUUUCUGUCUGACAGUGGCAUUGCCAAACCAACAAACAACACCAAAAGUUAAAAUACUCUCAAUAAAGGAUUUGAAAAACAGAGUCAGCAUAGUACAGUCUAUAUUAAAAGAACCCAAGUGUUUUAGAAAGUACAGUCUCUGUUGGCUCUUUUUGUAGAUCAGGUCUGUACAUUUACUCCACUGAAGCUUAUUGUCCAGAAUGACACCCAGAUAUUUAUAUUCCUCUACGAUUUCUAUAUCCUGACCUCUGAUAGAUGUUGCAGAGGUAGGUGUUGUACACUUCCUGAAGUCAAUGCACAUCUCUUUGGUCUUGUUGGUAUUGAGGACCGAGUGUGAUUCAUCACACCACUCUACAAAGUCAUCUAGGACCGGGCCAUGAUGUUCCUCACACCACUCUACAAAGUCAUCUAGGACCGGGCCAUGAUGUUCCUCACACCACUCUACAAAGUCAUCUAGGACCGGGACCAUGAUGUUCCUCACACCACUCUACAAAGUCAUCUAGGACCGGGCCAUGAUGUUCCUCACACCACUCUACAAAGUCAUCUAGGACCGGGCCAUGAUGUUCCUCACACCACUCUACAAAGUCAUCUAGGACCGGGCCAUGAUGUUCCUCACACCACUCUACAAAGUCAUCUUGGACCGGGACAUG